GCUUGUCUCAAAGAUUAAGCCAUGCAUGUCUAAGUAUAAACAACUUUAUACUGUAAAACUGCGAACGGCUCAUUAUAUCAGCAAUAAUUUAUUUGAUGGUUUCUUACCCCAUGGAUAACUGUGGUAAUUCUAGAGCUAAUACAUGCUGUUUUGCCUGACUCUGUGGUAAGGCUGUGCUUAUUAGUACCAGAACCAACCCAAGUUCUGCUUGGUUGCAUCCUGAUUCAUAAUAAACGAAUGGAUUGCAUGCUUUGGCUGGCAAUGUAGCAUCUAAGUUUCUGACCUAUCAGCUUCCGACGGUAAGGUAUUGGCUUACCGUGGCAAUGACGGGUAACGGAGAAUUAGGGUUUGAUUCCGGAGAGGGAGCCUGAGAAACGGCUACCACAUCUAAGGAAGGCAGCAGG
rnacentral:rRNA from 1 species